rnacentral:rRNA from 1 species
CUCUUUGGACACUCGUAAACAGGUGGUGCAUGGUUGUCGUCAGCUCGUGUCGUGAGAUGUUGGGUUAAGUCCCGCAACGAGCGCAACCCUCGUUCUAUGUUGCCAGCACGUAAUGGUGGGAACUCAUGGGAUACUGCCGGGGUCAACUCGGAGGAAGGUGGGGAUGACGUCAAAUCAUCAUGCCCCUUAUGUCUUGGGCUUCACGCAUGCUACAAUGGCCGGUACAAAGGGCUGCAAUACCGUGAGGUGGAGCGAAUCCCAAAAAGCCGGUCCCAGUUCGGAUUGAGGUCUGCAACUCGACCUCAUGAAGUCGGAGUCGC